ensembl:lncRNA
CCAGGUAGUUUAUAUCCAGGUAGUUUAUCUUUAUAUCUAUGCAGUUUAUAUCUAGGUAGUUUAUCUUAAUAUCUAGGUAGUUUAUCUUUAUAUAUAGGUAGUUUAUAUGAUGUAGUUUAUCUUUAUAUCUAGGUAGUUUAUAUCUAUAUAGUUUAUCUUUAUAUCUAGGUAGUUUAUAUCUAGGUAGUUUAUAUCUAGGUAGUUUUUCUUUAAAUCCAGGUAGUUUAUCUUUAUAUCUAGGUAGUUUAUCUUUAUAUCUAGGUAGUUUAUCUUUAUAUCUAGGUUGUUUAUCUUUAUAUCUAGGUAGUUUAUCUUUAUAUUGUUUAUCUUUAUAUCUAGGUAGUUUAUAUCUAGGUACUUUAUAUUUCUAUCUAGGUAGUUUAUAUCCAGGUAGUUUAUCUCUAUAUCUAGGUAGUUUAUAUCCAGGUAGUUUAUCUUUAUAUCUAGGUAGUUUAUAUCCAGGUUGUUUAUCUUUAUAUCUCAGUAGUUUAUAUCUAUAAAGUUUAUCUUUAUAUCAG